rnacentral:rRNA from 1 species
GACGAACGCUGGCGGCGUGCUUAACACAUGCAAGUCGAACGGAAAGGCCCUGCUUUUGUGGGGUGCUCGAGUGGCGAACGGGUGAGUAACACGUGAGUAACCUGCCCUUGACUUUGGGAUAACUUCAGGAAACUGGGGCUAAUACCGGAUAGGAGCUCCUGCUGCAUGGUGGGGGUUGGAAAGUUUCGGCGGUUGGGGAUGGACUCGCGGCUUAUCAGCUUGUUGGUGGGGUAGUGGCUUACCAAGGCUUUGACGGGUAGCCGGCCUGAGAGGGUGACCGGCCACAUUGGGACUGAGAGACGGCCCAGACUCCUACGGGAGGCAGCAGUGGGGAAUAUUGCACAAUGGGCGGAAGCCUGAUGCAGCAACGCCGCGUGCGGGAUGACGGCCUUCGGGGUGUAAACCGCUUUCGCCUGUGACGAAGCGUGAGUGACGGUAAUGGGUAAAGAAGCACCGGCUAGCUACGUG